UACGUAGGGUGCAAGCGUUAUCCGGAAUUAUUGGGCGUAAAGAGCUCGUAGGCGGUUUGUCGCGUCUGCUGUGAAAACUGGAGGCUCAACCUCCAGCCUGCAGUGGGUACGGGCAGACUAGAGUGCGGUAGGGGGAGAUUGGAAUUCCUGGUGUAGCGGUGGAAUGCGCAGAUAUCAGGAGGAACACCGAUGGCGAAGGCAGAUCUCUGGGCCGUAACUGACGCUGAAGAGCGAAAGCAUGGGGAGCGAACAGG
rnacentral:rRNA from 1 species